rnacentral:rRNA from 1 species
UACGGAGGGGGCUAGCGUUGUCCGGAAUCACUGGGCGUAAAGGGCGCGUAGGCGGCUUGAUAAGGUUGCGGUGAAAGCCCGGGGCUCAACCCCGGGUCGGCCGUGGCAACUGUCGAGCUGGAGCACUGUAGAGGCAGGUGGAAUUCCGGGUGUAGCGGUGGAAUGCGUAGAGAUCCGGAAGAACACCGGUGGCGAAGGCGGCCUGCUGGGCAGUGGCUGACGCUGAGGCGCGACAGCGUGGGGAGCAAACAGG